AUAGCCAGUGCAACCUCCUGGGAUCUGAGAAGGUUAGUGGCUGCGGUCAGUUCUUGCUCCAGCAACAGCAGUUUAUUAUCAACAAACUCUUUCAAACGUUAAUUUCCUGUGUCGGCUGAAUCAUCGGGUCUCCAGGUUCUGCCCAGGCAUCACACUAAGUCGUGGUUGUAAUGUGACAAAGUGUGAAAAAAAAGUAAAGUAGGAAGAGCAGCGUUGCAGGCUGUUCUCUGGAUCUGGGUGGACCUCUCCAUGCAGCCUGCAUUGAUGUGCUGACUGGCUCCAGAAGUGUCUGACGACUACUAAUGUAACAUAAAAGAUCUGGCUUCUCUUUCCCCUGCAGGCGGUUCAGUUCUCAUGGAGGCCCCUUAUCAUUAAAUGUUGACUGAUAACCCAGGGAA